rnacentral:rRNA from 1 species
GAUGAACGCUGGCGGCGUGCCUAAUACAUGCAAGUCGAACGAAGAUCUAGCUUGCUAGAUCUUAGUGGCGAACGGGUGAGUAAUACAUAAAUAAUCUGCCCAUAUGACUGGGAUAACUAUUGGAAACGAUAGCUAAUACCGGAUAGGUUGAUCGGAGGCAUCUCUGAUGAAUUAAAGUAGGAUUUCUACACAAAUGGAUGAGUUUAUGGCGCAUUAGUUAGUUGGUGGGGUAACGGCCUACCAAGACGAUGAUGCGUAGCCGACCUGAGAGGGUGAACGGCCACACUGGGACUGAGACACGGCCCAGACUCCUACGGGAGGCAGCAGUAGGGAAUUUUCGGCAAUGGGCGCAAGCCUGACCGAGCAACGCCGCGUGAGUGAUUAAGGCCUUCGGGUUGUAAAGCUCUGUUGUAAGGGAAGAACAUUCAGGAUAGGAAAUGAUCUUGAACUGACGGUACCUUACCAGAAAGCCACGGCUAACUACGUGCCAGCCGCCGCGGUAACAC